rnacentral:rRNA from 1 species
UCUGGCGGCAGUAGCGCGGUGGUCCCACCUGACCCCAUGCCGAACUCAGAGGUGAAACGCCGUAGCGCCGAUGGUAGUGUGGGGUCUCCCCGGCCGAGUAAGGGAACUGCCAGAC